rnacentral:lncRNA from 1 species
UUUAUUUUUUUAUUAUUAUUAUUAUUAUUAUUAUUUUUUUCCCGCUUUUUCACGUUUUUUUUUCUUUUUUUUUAUCAUUUUUCCGGCAUUCCAGGUAAUAAUUUUAAUUUUAAUAAUCAUUUUUAUUCCUUCUUAAAAGGGAAAAUUCCUCGCUCCGACCGCGCCCCGAGGGAUCCCAAAAAUCCCGGAGCUGUCGGAAUUUGGAGAUUUGGGAUUUUCCCCGCCCGAAAAAAUUCCCAAAAUCUUCGGGAUCAGCUCGGAAUUCCGGGAGGAGAUGCAGGAAAGCUACGAGAGCGUCAUUUCCUUGGGUAAGAGCCCGAAUUCCCUCGGAUUUCCCCUCAAAUUCGGGAUCGAAUCCCUUUCGUUUUCGGAUUUUGGGAAAUUUUUCCGGUAUUUUUCCUGGAUUUCAAGAAAUUUUCCAGGUUUUUCUCGUAUUUUGGGAAAGUUUCCGUGAUUUUUUUCCCUGGAUUUCAGGGAAAUUUUCCAGGAUUUUCCCCCAGAUUUCGGAAAAAUUUUCCGGGAUUUUUUCCCUGGAUUUUGGGAAUUUUUCUGGGAUUUUUCCCCGAUUUUGGGAAAAUUUUCCAGGAUUUUUCCUGGAUUUCGUGGAAUUUUUCCGUGAUUUUUUCCCAAAUUUUUUUUUCCUGGAUUUCGUGGAAUUUUUCCGUGAUUUUUUCCCAAAUUUUUUCCUGGGAUUUUGGGGAAAAUUUCCAGGAUUUUUUCCCGGGAUUUCGGGGAAUUUUUCCAGGAUUUU